rnacentral:rRNA from 1 species
UACGAAGGGGGCUAGCGUUGCUCGGAAUCACUGGGCGUAAAGCGCACGUAGGCGGAUUGUUAAGUCAGGGGUGAAAUCCUGGAGCUCAACUCCAGAACUGCCUUUGAUACUGGCGAUCUUGAGUCCGGGAGAGGUGAGUGGAACUGCGAGUGUAGAGGUGAAAUUCGUAGAUAUUCGCAAGAACACCAGUGGCGAAGGCGGCUCACUGGCCCGGU